rnacentral:rRNA from 1 species
UGCUUUACACAUGCAAGUCGAACGGCAGCAUGGGGGCAACUCUGAUGGCGAGUGGCGAACGGGUGAGUAAUGUAUAGGAACAUGCCUUGUAGUGGGGGAUAACCCGGAGAAAUCGGUGUUAAUACCGCAUACGCUCUGAGGAGGAAAGGGGGGGAUCUUAGGACCUCGCGUUAUAGGAUCGGCCGAUAUCAGAUUAGCUAGUUGGUGGGGUAAAGGCUCACCAAGGCGACGAUCAGUAGCUGGUCUGAGAGGAUGACCAGCCACACUGGAACUGAGACACGGUCCAGACUCCUACGGGAGGCAGCAGUGGGGAAUUUUGGACAAUGGGGGCAACCCUGAUCCAGCCAUGCCGCGUGUGUGAAGAAGGCCUUCGGGUUGUAAAGCUC